UAGAAAAAUGGGAGUCGAACCCACAACAAAAAAUUCAAAAUUUUACGUAUUACCUUUUAUACUACCUUCUA
rnacentral:tRNA from 1 species